UCCGGUUUGUCACCGGCAGCCCCAUUAGAGUGCCCAACUGAAUGUAGCAACUAGGGACAAGGGUUGCGCUCGUUGCGGGACUUAACUCAACAUCUCACGACACGAGCUGACGACAGCCAUGCAGCACCUGUGUUCAGGUUCCCUUUCGGGCACGCCUGCGUCUCCGCAGGCUUCCUGACAUGUCAAGGGUAGGUAAGGUUUUUCGCGUUGCAUCGAAUUAAACCACAUCAUCCACCGCUUGUGCGGGCCCCCGUCAAUUCCUUUGAGUUUCAACCUUGCGGUCGUACUCCCCAGGCGGGGUACUUCCUGCGUUAGCGCCGGCACCCAGAGGGUCGCUCCCCCAGGCACCUAGUACCCAUCGUUUACGGCGUGGACUAC
rnacentral:misc_RNA from 1 species